rnacentral:rRNA from 1 species
AACGACUCUCGGCAACGGAUAUCUCGGCUCUCGCAUCGAUGAAGAACGUAGCGAAAUGCGAUACUUGGUGUGAAUUGCAGAAUCCCGUGAACCAUCGAGUCUUUGAACGCAAGUUGCGCCCGAGGCCAUUCGGCUGAGGGCACGUCUGCCUGGGCGUCACGC